ensembl:snoRNA small nucleolar RNA, C/D box 124
UCAUUCUAAAUGCUGCUUCUGAGAAUCAAGAGAAGGAGACUAAGCCUCAGAGCUUAGAUGGAAGGUUGUAGUUUUUGAAAAUUUCAAGGAAAA